UACGAAGGGGGCAAGCGUUGUUCGGAAUUACUGGGCGUAAAGGGCGCGUAGGCGGCUUAUCAAGUCAGGCGUGAAAUUCCCGGGCUCAACCUGGGGGCUGCGCUUGAUACUGAUUGGCUUGAAUGCGGGAGAGGAUAGUGGAAUUCCCAGUGUAGAGGUGAAAUUCGUAGAUAUUGGGAAGAACACCGGUGGCGAAGGCGGCUAUCUGGCUCGUAAUUGACGCUGAGGCGCGAAAAGCGUGGGGAGCAAACAGG
rnacentral:rRNA from 1 species